rnacentral:rRNA from 1 species
GAUUGCAGGCUGCAACUCGCCUGCAUGAAGUCGGAAUUGCUAGUAAUCGUAGGUCAGCAUACUACGGUGAAUACGUUCCCGGGCCUUGUACACACCGCCCGUCACACCAUGAGAGUCGGGAACACCCGAAGUCCGUAGUCUAACCGCAAGGAGGGCGCGGCCGAAGGUGGGCUUGAUAAUUGGGGUGAAGUCGUAACAAGGUACC